AUACAAUAUAUCGACAAAGAUUCUAACUAUUAAUUUAUUUAUAUCUAUACUACUUAUAAAAGUGAGAGUUUUAAAUUUUUUUUCUUUUCAAAAAUAUUACUAUCUUUUCUACUAAUAUUUUAAUAUCCAGUAAUUUUUAGCCAAUCAUUUCUGUUAGGAUUCGUCCAUAUUGGACUUAUCUAAAACAUUUCAAAUCCAUAUGGGAUAAAAAAUAAAUAUUUGUAAUUAUCUGUUAUAUUCAUAGUCCACAUGGGAUAAGAAAUAAAUCUAACAGAUAAAUCAUAAUCGGUUUAAAUAUCUAUUUAUGAGAGAUUUAGUUAGAAUAUGACUAGAAUUAACAUCUUCCGUAUGGACUAUAAAUACAUGAAGUAUUGACCACAUAUAUGAUCUUGGUAAUCAUAAUAUAUUCCGCUACAAAAGAGGUAUGAAAAAAUCUAUGUGAUUUUUGCGAAUUGUUCAUUGGAUAUUUAAUUAUUUUAAUCAACAGUGGUAUCAGAGACAUACCGUGUUUGUUUUCGUUCGAUAAUUCGUUUCUUUGACAUCGAAUAUAUUUUUAAUUUGUUAAAAAUAUAAAAAUAAUAUCCGGUGAAGUUUUAAAUCACAAUUGGUAGAUCAACCUGUAAUAUACUGAACUUUUACAAAUUGCGGAGUUCGAGUAUGUGGAAUGGUGUGUGGAUCAAUCCUACAUGUUCUAAAAGGUUAGACCAAGUUUUUGAACAAGUUAGAGGAUGAUUGGAAUGCUAAAAGUGAGAAAGUGCAUUGAACUGGCGAAAAUCAGCAUUUUCUGCUUGCUUUACCGGUACAGCCAUCACCUUGUACCGGUACAAGCUGGCAGAUUCGU
rnacentral:lncRNA from 1 species